UACGAAGGAUUCGAGCGUUAUCCGGAUUUAUUGGGCUUAAAGGGUGCGUAGGUGGUCUAAUAAGUCAGUUGUGAAAGCCCGGAGCUCAACUCCGGAACUGCCAUUGAUACUGUUAGUCUUGAGUACAGUUGAGGUGGGCGGAAUGUGCCAUGUAGCGGUGAAAUGCUUAGAUAUGACGCAGAACACCGAUUGCGAAGGCAGCUCACUGGGACGUUACUGACGCUGAGACGCGAAAGCGUGGGGAGCAAACAGG
rnacentral:rRNA from 1 species